UAACCAAACUAAUAAUGACUGAAACCUUCCUAUGGAAUUCCAAACGCUUAUCAAAUAUUCCAAUACUCACGAUAACACCUUGAAACUCACCCUUUGAAUUCAAUUCUCUCUUCUCCCAAUCCAUGCUCUCUUACAAAUUCCUUCUCUUUUCCCAAUCUAAUAUCUCUUUUCCCGUCCCUAUUCUUUUCAUCAUUAAUUUCUUCCUCAAUUCACAUUGUACAAUGGAAUGGCCACUACAAUUUUCCAGGGAAGGACUUGGGAGGCAUAUGAUGAAGAUAUUGCAUUUGCAAGUGCCCUAGAAACUUUUCGUUGGGGUCAUAACCCCAUCAAAGUAAAUUUUGGAGGUUGAGCAUAUGUUAAAUGACAUAAGAUAUCUCCAGUUUGUCAAUAUUAAUCUAUAAAAGAUCAAGCUACUUGAAAAAUAUCUUAUCGUGUCAGUAAGAGGCAUUCAAAACUAAAGCAUGUGCUGAUAGGACUUCUUUAAAAAUCAUAUAAGUUUGUAUAUCUCAAAAGUGAUAGGAUUCUAGAGUUUUUGAUCUUAUUGGACUUUUCUGUUUUUGUUUGGUUUUAAGAUUUAGGAUUAA